AUGCCGGUCCGCGGUGAGGGGAAGGACUCGGGGAGCCCUAGGUGGCGGCCAGCACCGCCGCAGAUAGUUCUGGGUACCAAACCUGAACCAGGGGGAGGCCACCCACGUGGGGCCCCGGGCCGUACCCCACGCAGAACACGAGGGAGACAGCGGGGAGAAGAAAGCGUCCUGAGGACGCCCAUCAGCCUGAUACCGGCCCAUCCCCCCACUGAGGGGACACCUGCCCUUUCCAGGUUGUCGGGACCCAUGUCACAGGUACUGGGCACACAGGGACCCUCCCUGGGCUGCAGGAGGGCCCCGCAGAUAAGGAAGCUAGCCCUGGGCCGGGGGUUCUGGGGGCGCUGCCCUGGAACAGGCAGGACCAUGGCAGUUUUGACUGCCCCUCUCGGGACGCACUGGUCCCAGCACACCGGACAGGCAACAGCUCUGCAAGGCCAGGACUGCAGGCUCCAUUUCAGGGGCACAGCUCCGAGAUGCUACGUGACCCCGACAACACCCAGGGCCCCUGAUGUUCCCCUGGAGCCAGUGUGUCCGCCAAGGGCCCAGCAGUGCCGUGUGCCCAGGACACAGGUCCCCUGAGGGCAGGGCUUCCCUGGGCAAUGCUGCAGCUGGACAGAGAAGGUGCCCAGUGGUUUCCAGAACGACCAGGCGUGGGACCUGGCAGAGCAGACGAGGCCAGGGGGCACUCGUGCUGGACUCCAGCGUCUGAGAGGGUGGCCCCGUGUGGGUGGCCUCCAGGGACACACCAUUCUCUGACUAGGCGAGUUUUAGCCACAGGGAGGCUCCUGGCUCAGGGUUCCUCGGGAAACCCAUUGUCACAAAUAACGAAGACAACAUCCUGACCUCCCGCGGCACGGCGCCCCCAGAGAACCCCUGGGGGCUGUGGCCAUCCAGACCACCUGCCCACCCCUAGGAAAGACUCCCCCGGUCCCACCCAGCUUUACCCCAAGGCACCAUUUCCCCCCACCACAGUGGGGGUCCCCACCUAGCCCCAGGCUCCUUCGAUCUAAAACUGUGCUUUCCGGUUCUGUAAAGGGGGCCGCGAUCGGCACCCGGUUACUGACAGCUGGCGGGGGACGGGGCGCUUUCUGCCUAGGGUGAGCAGGCAGGCCAGCAUGCCCAUGUGGGCAGCUGUCAUCCUGCCUGGUCAAACACAGCCCACUCUUCUCUUAAAAAUGAGCCCGCUCAGGUAAUCAGUGAUCAGCCACCACAUGGGAUGCAGAGCCAGGAACAUGCUCUGAGCCCAGGAGCCAGAAACCAAACGGGAGUCCGAUCUCGCCUCUGCUUCCGAGCCACCCUCUCCAGUCACAGGAGACGCAGGACCAGUACCCAGUGAGCACCAGCAGCGACGCCGGGACACGGAUGACCUCGCUUCCUCCUGAGGCGGCUGGGGAAGGGGGGCUCAAGGCUUAACCCCAGGGCGGAUCUGCACCGGCUCCUUGUUAUAAAACCAGGGACUUCCCAGGGGUCCAGUACUUGACUCUGCUUCCACCGCAGGGGGCACGGGCCCUAUCCAUGGUCAGGGACGUUCCACAAUCAUGCAGUCAAAAAAAAAAUCACAAACGUGGAAAACAGAGGCAAUCAGAGGGCUGUGCCACUCACUGGGUGUUUGACAAAAUGAGAAGAGCUGUUGUUCAUUUGGGGGGUCAAGGUACUGGGGUUCCCCUUGGAAGCUCAUCUGGAGAAUUUAUGGGUGGAACCGUAUGAUGUCUGGGGUCUGCUUCAGAACCACGUGGGGGUGGGGAGGGGUGCGUGGACAGCCGAGGGUUUGUGUUCAGUUCUUGCUGCUGGUGAUGGGGGCUUCUCAGAGCCUUCUCCCAGAUCUGGCAUGUCCAUCGUUGACCAGGCCGGAUGCUGGACGCCUGAUACAACAAUGUCACUUGUGAGUUAGACAGAGCCUGUGUGCCCUGCUAGAAUGUCAGCUCCAUGAGGGUGGGGUUUCCUCAGGCACCACCCCAUCCUCCGUGCCUGGCAAAGAGAACACGUCCAGCGGAAGCUCUGGAACGAUUUUCCGUAAAAACAGAAGCACAAAAAUGGCAGCUCUUACCCUUGGCAGAAUUUCAUCGCCAGUCCCCCUCGGCCUGCCCCUCCCCUGGCCCCCCCCCCCCCCCCCCCCCCCCCCUCCCCAGCCUCCUUUGCCCCAUCCUCACUUUCUCAAUCACACAAUGGACUCCCCUGGGGUUAAUUCCUCAGCCUUUUGGUCUCCCUGCGCCCAGCCCCAACAGUGAUAACCCACCUGAAGUCAAAUCCUGGAUCCGCCCCCACCCCCUCAUGAGCUCCGCCCUUGAGUCUUUAGUGUGUCAAUGGCACCACUGGUUUUCCCAGGUUCACUGACCACGCUGUGGACCCUGGGGAAGGCCGCAGGCUGGCCCUUGCCGGGUGGCCACGUCACAUGCCUCGUCUGUCCCUUGGACGAAGCCAGGUCACUUCUGACCCCGCACUCCCCAGCCAUAGCUGCUCUGCUGACCCCGCCAAGCCUGAGCCUCGUCAGACCCACCCAGCAUGUCUCCCUGCUCACCCGGGACACAUCUGCUCUGCCAACACCAGUCGCCCCAACCUGCCCGGGUUCCAACGGCCGUGACCCAACCACUCCCCGCGGGAGGAAGGGGUGCCUUCAGCAUCUGAAAGCAGCCUGGGGGACCCCUGUCGGCUCCCCACCCCAACCUGUGCAAUAAAAGAGAGCUCUGGGCAGGGUGAGACUUCAAAGCCGCCGAGGCUCUGGUCAAAGGUAGGGCUGAGUAAUCACCUCUGAGCUCAGGGAGCCUGGGGAGGCCUCCUUGUUCCUCUCAGAGGAGGCCCUCACAGCCCCCACCUGCAAACAGGUGGGCAGGGCCCAGGCCUCUGUAGCCUGCAGGGCACACGUGGCCAGGAGCCACAGGUGUGGCAGCAGAGGGCCGAGUAUGGUGGGCUGGACACGGCCAGACACCUCUGCCCCGCCCUCCCGCAACUGUAGGUCCCCCCACUGCCAGGUGGAGAGCCCUGCCAGGGGUCACCCAGCUGGUGGCGGACAGCGGGGAUCGGACCGCAGCAACCUGGACCCCGAGACAGAGGGCAGCCUGGGGGCCCACUGGCCAGACCUCCGCAGGCUGAGCCCUAUGCUGGGCAUUGCCUCCCGCCCGGGCCUAUCAACUGCUUUGGCAGAGCAACCCCCAGAUGGAGGCUGGGGUCCAGGGAGACGCGACCACAGAUGUGGGCCUGCUGGGUCCAGGGUCGAAGCCACCACCCUCGCACCCACACAGGACCCUCCCCUGGAUCAUGGGGGCCUCAGGGGUAUGGAGCGGGUACGCCCCCACCACUGAUACACAGCACCGGUUUAUGUAUAGAGCCAUCUUCCCUGAAACAGGCUUCCUGAGGCUGGUCUCUCCCCAGCUGGCCGAGCUGCAAGGGGACGCCCACCAGGGACUCUGCCCCAGGGCUGUGGCAAGGGAGAGUUCAGCCAGGUUCACAACUUCCAGGAAGAGGGAGUCGGAGGGAAUAAACAGUCUUUAUUGCGUUCUAAAUCUAAGGGCUCUUUGCACAAAAAUAAGCCUUCAUACCGCCAGUGUCCCUGAGCAGUUCAAGUGCAUGCGUUCGUAAAAAACAUCUGCGACGUCAUAAAGCCCUCUCCCCUUCAAACCUCCAAGAGUCGGUUCCGCAGCCCCAGUCCAGGGGAAGGUCUCUGCGGACAGGGUGGCUGGGGUCCGAGGAAGCUGCCGCCGGGAGGAGGAGGUCAGGCGGGCCCGCUUGCACACUAGCCUUGGGUCAGGCUGGAUGGCCGGGGAGCGUCGGCUGGAUCCCUGGCUCGGUGGUGGCUUGGCCCGCGGAACGACGAACACGGAGGCGGGAGCCUUUCCAACCGGCUGGCUCCGCAGGGGUGAGCGCGCUCCCCAUCGCUGGGAGGGAAGGGGGGACAGGCACGCGCGUUAGUGCGGGAUCCGGCCCCGGACACCCCGCGCAGCCCGGCCCUCCCCCACCCCCACAAGCGUAGUCGGCAGUUUCGUUCUCGGGGUGGGUUUUGGAGCCCAGGUCUCCGUGGGAGCCUCGGCUUCGGUGUGUGGCCCGGCCCCGGGCGCCGGGCGGGGCGAGGGGCGGGGGGGGGGGGGGCGCGGGGGGGGGGGAUGCCACUAGGGGGCUGGCUGAGGACGUGGCCGGGGACAGGCUUGCUGCAGGGCAGCCUGGGGGAGGCGCCGGACCCAAGCAGGGUCCCAGUGAUUUAGGGGGGAGGG
ensembl:lincRNA